AUGCACCUGGGACCUUUUCCAGCUGGAUGUUUUAGCUGUGAGAUGGUGGAGAUGUGUGACGCGCCGCCUGGGGCUGCUGCACCGCAAACGCCCCCACCCAGCGUUCCAGUGUGCUGUGCCUGGUUGCUAACACGGUCACGAGCUCUUGGCUCAGCACACAGACACUGCUGCCAAUGGAGUGCUCAUCGGGCCGCAGCACUGGCCAGGCCCUGGCCCGCACUCCCACCGGCUGCCUGCGACACAGCUGGCUUCUCCACUAUUGAUUUAUUUUCAGUGUCUGGAAAAUUUUAUUGACCAAGGAAAUUCAGGCUUCCAGGGCAGUAGUGAGGGCCUCACCGCAGGCAUAUUUGACUUGAAAAAGGAGAAAUUAGAGGAAUCUGAAGACCUGUGCAAAGUCCUAUCCCAAUAUGCUGUUACUGCGUGGAAUAAAAUGUCUACCUCUCCAGUGGUGUGUAGUCAGAGAAACUCCAUUAAGAAUGGAAAUGGAGAGAAAUCGAGAAGUGAGUUAUAGAGAAGCUAAGCAUCUUUCCGCAGAUCAAACCAGGAUUUAACUUCAGGCAGUCUGGCUGCAGAGUCUACACAACAGUAGACAGUCUUUCUAUUCAAAGUAAAAGAUGAAGCUGGCUGCCAAAGAAGAUUCAGAAACCCAGGUUCUGUGCAACUCAA